UACGUAGGGGGCAAGCGUUGUCCGGAAUCAUUGGGCGUAAAGAGCGUGUAGGCGGUUCGGUAAGUCGGCUGUGAAAGUCCAGGCUCAACCCUGGGAUGCCGGUCGAUACUGCCGGACUAGAGUUCGGAAGAGGCGAGUGGAAUUCCCGGUGUAGCGGUGAAAUGCGCAGAUAUCGGGAGGAACACCUAUGGCGAAGGCAGCUCGCUGGGACGUUACUGACGCUGAGACGCGAAAGCGUGGGGAGCAAACAGG
rnacentral:rRNA from 1 species